UCCUAGCCCCGAUAGUAGUGGAAAUCCUUUUACUUUUUUCUUUAAAAAGUAAAAGAUUGAAACGGAUUGCUUCGCCAGUU
rnacentral:sRNA from 2 species